GAUGAACGCUGGCGGCGUGCCUAAUACAUGCCAGUCGAGCGAACGGACGAGAAGCUUGCUUCUCUGAUGUUAGCGGCGGACGGGUGAGUAACACGUGGAUAACCUACCUAUAAGACUGGGAUAACUUCGGGAAACCGGAGCUAAUACCGGAUAAUAUUUUGAACCGCAUUGUUCAAAAGUGAAAGACGGUCUUUCUGUCACUUAUAGAUGGAUCCGCGCUGCAUUAGCUAGUUGGUAAGGUAACGGCUUACCAAGGCAACGAUGCAUAGCCGACAUGAGAGGGGGAUCGGACAAACGGGAAGUGAGACACGGUCCAGACUCCGACGGGAGGCAGCAGUAGGGAAUAUUCCGCAAUGGGCGAAAGCAUGACGGAGCAACGCCGCGUGAGUGAUGAAGGUCUUCGGAUCGUAAAACUCUGUUAUUAGGGAAGAACAAAUGUGUAAGUAAAUGUGCACAUAAUGACGGUACCUAAUCAGAAAGCCACGGCUAACUACGUG
rnacentral:rRNA from 1 species